rnacentral:rRNA from 1 species
CGUAGGGUGCAAGCGUUAAUCGGAAUUACUGGGCGUAAAGCGUGCGCAGGCGGUUAUGCAAGACAGAUGUGAAAUCCCCGGGCUCAACCUGGGAACUGCAUUUGUGACUGCAUAGCUAGAGUACGGUAGAGGGGGAUGGAAUUCCGCGUGUAGCAGUGAAAUGCGUAGAUAUGCGGAGGAACACCGAUGGCGAAGGCAAUCCCCUGGACCUGUACUGACGCUCAUGCACGAAAGCGUGGGGAGCAAACAGGAUUAGAUACCCUGGUAGUCCACGCCCUAAACGAUGUCAACUGGUUGUUGGGAGGUUUCUUCUCAGUAACGUAGCUAACGCGUGAAGUUGACCGCCUAGGGGAGUACGGCCGCAAGGUUGA